rnacentral:tRNA from 1 species
GCCGAAAUAGCUCAGUUGGUAGAGCAACUCAUUCGUAAUGAGUAGGUCGUCAGUUCGAUUCUGAUUUUCGGCUCCA